rnacentral:rRNA from 1 species
AUUGAACGCUGGCGGCAUGCCUUACACAUGCAAGUCGAACGGUAACAGGCCGCAAGGUGCUGACGAGUGGCGAACGGGUGAGUAAUGCACCGGAACGUGCCCAGUCGUGGGGGAUAACUGCUCGAAAGAGCAGCUAAUACCGCAUACGACCUGAGGGUGAAAGCGGGGGACCGUAGGCCUCGCGCGAUUGGAGCGGCCGAUGUCAGAUUAGCUAGUUGGUGGGGUAAAGGCCUACCAAGGCAACGAUCUGUAGUUGGUCUGAGAGGACGACCAGCCACACUGGGACUGAGACACGGCCCAGACUCCUACGGGAGGCAGCAGUGGGGAAUUUUGGACAAUGGGCGCAAGCCUGAUCCAGCAAUGCCGCGUGCAGGAAGAAGGCCUUCGGGUUGUAAACUGCUUUUGUCAGGGAAGAAAUCUUCUGGGCUAAUACCCCGGGAGGAUGACGGUACCUGAAGAAUAAGCACCGGCUAACUACGUGCCAGCCGCCGCAGUAAUAC